CCUACGGGCGGCAGCAGUGGGGGAUAUUGCACAAUGGGGGGAACCCUGAUGCAGCGACGCCGCGUGGGUGAAGAAGCGCCUCGGCGCGUAAAGCCCUGUCAGCAGGGAAGAAAAUGACGGUACCUGAAGAAGAAGCCCCGGCUAACUACGUGCCAGCAGCCGCGGUAAUACGUAGGGGGCAAGCGUUAUCCGGAUUUACUGGGUGUAAAGGGGGCGCAGACGGCGAUGCAAGCCAGGAGUGAAAGCCCGGGGCCCAACCCCGGGACUGCUCUUGGAACUGCGUGGCUUGAGUGAUGGAGAGGCAGGCGGAAUUCCCGGUGUAGCGGUGGAAUGCGUAGAUAUCGGGAGGAACACCAGUGGCGAAGGCGGCCUGCUGGACAUUAACUGACGCUGAGGCGCGAAAGCGUGGGGAGCAAACAGGAUUAGAUACCCUUGUAGUC
rnacentral:rRNA from 1 species